UACGAGGGGGGCAACUGUUGUUCGGAAUCACUGGGCGUAAAGGGAGCGUAGGCGGGUUCUUAAGUUAGGUGUUUAAUCCCGGGGCCCAACCCCGGACCGGCACUUAAAACUGGGAAUCUUGAAUAGUGGAGAGGUCGGUGGAAUUGGGGGUGUAGCGGUGGAAUGCGUAGAGAUCCCCAAGAACACCAGUUGCGAAGGCGGCCGACUGGACACAUAUUGACGCUGAGGCUCGAAAGCAUGGGGAGCAAACAGG
rnacentral:rRNA from 1 species